AGAGUUUGAUCCUGGCUCAGGAUGAACGCCAGCUACAGGCUUAACACAUGCAAGUCGGGGGAAACGACAUCGAAAGCUUGCUUUUGAUGGGCGUCGACCGGCGCACGGGUGAGUAACGCGUAUCCAACCUGCCCACCACUUGGGGAUAACCUUGCGAAAGUAAGACUAAUACCCAAUGACGUCUCUAGAAGACAUCUGAAAGAGAUUAAAGAUUUAUCGGUGAUGGAUGGGGAUGCGUCUGAUUAGCUUGUUGGCGGGGUAACGGCCACCAAGGCGACGAUCAGUAGGGGUUCUGAGAGAAGGUCCCCACAUUGGAACUGAGACACGGUCCAAAUCCUACGGAGGCA
rnacentral:rRNA from 1 species